rnacentral:misc_RNA from 1 species
UCCGGUUUGACACCGGCAGUCUCCCUAGAGUGCCCGGCAUAACCCGCUGGUAACUAAUCACAAGGGUUGCGCUCGUUAAUGGACUUAACCAAACAUCUCACGACACGAGCUGACGACGGCCAUGCAUCAUCUGUCACUUGGCUCAAUAAAGCACUCUUUCCUUUCGGAAAAAUUCCAAGGAUGUCAAACCCUGGUAAGGUUCUUCGUUUAUCAUCGAAUUAAAGAACACGAUCCACCGCUUGUGCGGGUCCCCGUCAAUUCCUUUAUGUUUUAGUCUUGCGACCGUACUCCACAGGCGGGAUACUUAACGCGUUAGCUUCGCUACUGAAGGGGUCGAUACCUCCAACAGCUAGUAUCCAUCGUUUACGGCGUGGACUAC